rnacentral:tRNA from 2 species
GCCCGGGUGGUGGAAUUGGUAGACACGCUACCUUGAGGUGGUAGUGCGUAAUGGCGUGCGGGUUCAAGUCCCGCCUCGGGUACCA